rnacentral:pre_miRNA from 1 species
AGAGGGAUAGCUGGGUCAAAUGGUGAUUCAUUCCUAGAUUUCCAAGGAAUCUCCAUACUGCUUUCCAUAUUGGCUGCACCAAUUUGCAGUCCCACCAGUGAU